UCCAGAGGCAUCUGGGGGGGCAUAGUCGGUUGGGCAUCUGACUCAUGGUUUUGGCUCAGGUCAUGAUCUCAGGGUCCUGGGCUAGAGACCCGCAUGGGGCCCCCCACUCACUGGGGAGUCUGCUUCUCCUAUCCCUCCCUCUCUGCUGCUCUGUCCCUCGGCUCUGCCCUUGAGGGUUCUCUUUCUCUCAAAUAAAUAAAUCUUAAAAAAAAAUUCUUCCAUGUGGCAGUUCCAACAUGGGGCUUCAAAUUUCUUGACACUCCUUUCAUUAAGAGUUGGGGGUAUGUCCCCACCCCUGCGUCUGGAUGGGCUGUGGCUGCUGCAGACAGAAGCCCAGAGCAGCGCUGCCCCAACUUUUUUCCAUGAUUAUCUUCUAAGGAUCCUGUUUACUCAUUUUCUCUUCCUAGAAAUGCCCCCCACCAAGCUAUGAAAUUUUAAUACUAAAGACAUGCUGUAUACGUCCAUGUUCUACUGAUCUGUCCAUCAGUCGAUCCGUCUACCAAUGGAUCAUCUAUGUUUUGUAUAUGAAAAGAGUAGCAUCGUUUUCACCCUCCAAGAAGCAAUGUUCGUCCCUGUCGGAAGGCCCGGAUGGAGCCUGGGGACAGUGACCCUGUGUGACAUCUGAGGCCAGGCCAGGAGGAAUCCCGUAGCUCCUUGCUCAGGCUCUAGAAAUGCCGGUGCUGGGGACUGUCCCACUCAGAACCCGGCGGCCCCAUGCAGAGGCUACCUGUACGGUCUUGGGUCCACAGUCAGGACUGGGCUCCGUGUUGGGUCACCCUGGCUCCUGUUCCAGACACACGGGCAAAGAAGCUUCUGGAUGACAGUGGCACCCAGCCAUGUGAGUCACCCCGCCAGCAUUAUGUCAUCCCAGUUGAGGCCCCAGACAUGAGGGAGAAGAGACAGGCUGUCCCCUCUCAGCCCUUUUGAAUUCCUGACCACGGAAUCUGUGACAUGACAAAGUGAUUGCUGUUUUAUGUCACAAAGAAAAUCUAAGUAUGGAUCACGGGACCAUUUGGCUCUGUCCGUUCCAGGGUCGGGCAAGACGGUAAAGAGGAAGGUCCUGCCUCUGUCGUGGGCCCGGAGGGCUGUGGGGAGGCUGCUGGCUGCUUCCAAGGGCCCCUCCGGGACUCAGCUCUGCAAAGGGGACAGAGGCUGGGAGCUCCCACAUGGCUUCCUUGGUCUCUUGGCCUCCGAAAAGUCCUACAUCCUCUACUCCCCACUCAACAGAACAACUGGUCUUCAACAGUUACCAGCAGGACAGAAGCUCAUCAUGAAGCAUGAGCCAAGGGCUUUCCUCGUUCAGAGGACUGACUGAACAAAAUGUCUACUGGGGCCAGGUUCCAAGGAAUAGGGUCCUGGAGAAGGAAAAGAACUUGGACUGGAGCUGGAAAGGAGCUGGUGGAGGGUGUUUCUGGGAGGUGGGACCCAGGGAGGGAAUGCACCUUCACCCUGGUCUCUGAUGGGUGUGUUUGCCCUCUGAUGAAAGAGCUAACUGGCUGUCUUUGGACGCUUCUUUGAGUGGACGUUUGAGGUUGAUGGCCCAGCCUCUCGGCCAUGUUGGGAAUGUGAGAAAGCAGCAAUCCCAGCUUCCCCCUCCUUCCCAGCAUUUCCCUAGCACUUAGAGGAGGGCAGGGCUGGAUCCAUGGAACAGGUGCCCGCCUGCGUCCAGCUGUAGGCAGAAUAACACCACCCCUCAGAGAUGUCCUAACCCCCAGAUCUGUGAAUGUGUUAGGUUACAUAGCAUAGCAAGGGGGAAUUUCAUAAUGCAGAUGGAGUUGAUUGCCAACCAGCUGACCUUGAGAUGGGGAGAUUAUCCUGGGU
ensembl:lincRNA